UUGGUUACAACCCUGACAAAAUCCCCUUCGUUCCAAUCUCUGGUUUUGAGGGAGACAACAUGAUUGAGAGGUCCACCAACCUUGACUGGUACAAGGGACCAACUCUCCUUGAGGCUCUUGACCAGAUCAACGAGCCCAAGAGACCCUCAGACAAGCCCCUCAGACUUCCAUUGCAAGAUGUUUACAAGAUCGGUGGUAUUGGAACUGUGCCAGUCGGACGUGUUGAGACUGGAGUCAUCAAGCCUGGUGUGAUCGUCACCUUUGGCCCUACUGGUCUGACAACUGAAGUUAAGUCUGUUGAGAUGCACCACGAGGCUCUCACCGAAGCUCUCCCCGGAGACAAUGUUGGAUUCAAUGUUAAGAAUGUUGCAGUGAAGGAUCUCAAACGUGGUUUCGUUGCAUCCAACUCCAAGGAUGACCCUGCUAAGGAAGCUGCCAACUUCACUUCCCAAGUCAUCAUCAUGAACCAUCCAGGACAGAUCGGAAACGGUUAUGCCCCAGUCCUCGACUGUCACACCUCCCACAUUGCUGUUAAGUUCGCUGAGCUUCUCACCAAGAUCGACAGGCGAUCUGGUAAGGAACUUGAGAAGGAGCCUAAGUUUUUGAAGAAUGGUGAUGCUGGUCUUGUUAAGAUGAUUCCAACCAAGCCUAUGGUUGUGGAAACUUUCUCCGAGUAUCCACCACUUGGUCGUUUCGCCGUGAGGGACAUGCGUCAAACUGUUGCUGUCGGUGUCAUCAAGAGUGUUGAGAAGAAGGAUCCAACUGGAGCCAAGAUCACCAAAGCUGCAGUGAAGAAGAAGUGAUGGUUGAUGCAGAAGUGGAUGUUGCUUUAUAGUAGCUUAUUAUCUUUUAAGAGUCUUAGUUUAUUUUUGCCUUUUAAUUUUGCCGUUUUUAUGCAGCCAAACUUGCAAAACUGGGUUCUUGAUCGGCGAUGGUCGACCUUUAUUUUGUGGUUGUUUUGAUUUUGAUGGUACUGUUUUUGAAUUAAAUUAUGAGUCUUGAGAACUUAUUUUCAGAGGCACAUCUUAAUUUUUAAUUAUGUCUGUUUAAUGAUGUGUUUUUUAAAUUAAUGUGCUAUUUUCUGGUUGCUUUUAGUUUAUUUUACAAGUUAUAUUUAUUAAAGUAAAAUUCAUGGUUCCUUGGAAUUAUUACAAUUUAUUUGAAGAAAGUGUGAUACAAAAGUGUUUGAUGGACAAGGAUAAUUAAUUUUUUCUUUGAUUUAUUACAGUUUUAUUUGAAAGAAGUUUUAAAAAAUAAAAAUAUGUAAAUAUUUCAGUUUUAUUUGACAAGUAAAAAAUAGAAUAAAUCCUGAUUAUUGAUUAUUACAUUUCACAUUUAAUAUUAUAUCAAUGUCAUACGAAACAAAAUAUAAUUGAACAUCAGCAAUGCUUUAUUUUUUCUUUAACUUAUGUUGUUAUUAUUAAAAGUUAUUGAAAAUAAAAUGUUCAAAUAAUAUUAAAUUUAGAAUGACUGAAUUCAACACAAAUGUUAUUUCGAUAAUCUAAUAGUAAAAGAAUUCGAAAAAUGCUUUUUAUUUUAAUUUUUCGGUUACAUUCCAAAUAAUUACUUAACAACUUCUAUCAUCGUUAUUAUAACUAGUAAGGUAUAUAGGUAAAAAUAUACUAAUAUAUCUAGUUAUUUUAAUUUAAAUUAUAUUAUUUUUAUAUUUUAAUUUUGAUAAUAAUGAGUUUAGUAAAAAAAAAUCAUUAUUAAAUUUUUAACUAAAUGCUGCAAAUUUUAUUAUUAAAAAUUCUGUUAAAUACUACAAGUCGUUCAAAAAAUACUAAUCAAAUUUUAUAAAUUUUUAUAUUUUUUAAUUUAUUUACAACAAUUUAUCAUAUUUAAUUUGUUUUACAUAUAAAGUAAUUUGAAUAAUUAAUUUAUUGUGACGUUUUGAUUAGAUGUUAACAUAUACAGUUAUUUAAAAAGAAAUUAAAUUUAAAAAAUUAGAUGUAUAAUUUAAUAUAAUUUAAAAACUAAUAAUAUAAAAUGAAUAUAAUUUAAAUGAUAUUAAUUUAUUUUUAUCCUAUGUGUUUGGUUUUUAUUACUUUUUCGGUGCCUUAUAAUAGCCUGUUGAUAUAUGAUUCCUUUUUAAUGAGCAAAUAUUUAACCUAUGCUAGUGUAGUCACCAAAUAUUUUGAACUUAUAGCAAUAUUUAAAAAGAAGUAAUAGAAGCAAUACCAAUUCUAUCUCUAUUAAAGAAUGGUGGUUUGACAAAUUUAAUAUUGUUUGGUGGACUAAUGAUGUUGUUUUGGGUGGAGAACCACGUCCAUCUUUUAUCUACAAAUAUAUAUCAAAGUAAACACGACAAAACAUAGAAAAAGAAAAUUCAAAUAAAUAUUCUAAAAAUAUAAUGGAUACUUGUCAACUCAAAUAGAAAAAAUCUGAAAUCAAAAUGCAUAUAGAAUGACAAAAGAAGAGAUAUAAUGAGAGGGAAGAGCAUAUGAGAGGAUAAAUAUAUAUCGGAGAUUCAACUCCCUAAUUAUGCACAUAUAUGAAAGGAAUAUGAAUACUAAUUACUAACUCAAAUUGUGGUGAAAAAUAAUUGUUUUAACAAUUAUAUGAUUUUUUAUUUCUUUUAAAUUUAGAAUAAUUGCAAUCAAUGUCUAUUGAUACUAAAAGGUUGUACUAUGAAAAAAGUUUGUGAUCCACGUAAUAUUUGAGGUUUGUAAUUCUAUAAAAAAUUAUAAUUAUAUUUUUUUUUCUUUCAAAUGUGUGCACAAUGAGAGUGUGAUUAAAUAACCUCUAUAAAGAAAAUAAGUUUUAUUUAUUUAUUUGUUUAUUAUCUUAAUAAGUGAGAGCCGAAUUGCAUAAUAAUGUGAAACAUGAUUUUGUUGUAGUAAUUCAUUUAAAAGGAUUUGUUAAUGUAUAUAUAUAUAUAUAAACAAAAUUUAGAGUCUAUAGAAUAGCACCCUAUCAAAUAAAUAUAAUAUAUUAAGAAUUUAUAAAUUUUAGAUAUAAUCAUGUUGAUUAAUAGGUUUUAAAACAUAAUUAUUUAUAGAAAAAGUAGUGAAAGUAAGUUAAGUGCAAAAUAGUUUGUUUAAUGUGAUUGUCUAUAUAUAUUUACUUGUAAAAUGUUCAUUCUCGUAUCUUAUAAUUUAUAAAUAUAUUAUAGUAAUCGAAGGUAGAUAUUUAAAAAAAAAAAUGUUAAUGUGUCAUUUCUAUCAAAAUAUUCAUACUUAUUUCUAAAUAAUGUUGUAGCACUUUUUAGGAAACCGUUUUUUUUUGUAAAACUACAUUAUUCUAUUAGAUUUAUUGAAAUUGAUAUAAUUUCAUUUUUUUAGACAAGGGAUAUGAUUUAGUUGUAAUUUUCCAAUUCUAAUAUGUAAUAUUUAAUUGAUUUAUCAUCCAUUCAUUAUAUUAUAUUAUUUAGAUACAAAAUUUCUAAAUUAAUCAUUUAUCUUACCAAAUUGCAAAUUGAUACAUAUAUCUUAUAAUAAACUACAACUAGAGAACUGCUCUACAAUAUUUAAAAUACUAAAAUACCCUUAGUAAAAUUAAAAUUCACAUUAUAUAAUCAGCAUAAACCCAAUUCACAAAUUAAGCACUAUUAGAUAAUAUUAUUAUAUAUUAGUAGUAAGGGUAUUUUAGAUAUUUUCUAUUUUCUUCUAUAUAUACUCAUUGUAACCCUAUUAACUUUAGUUUUGGUUUAUUAUAUGAUAUGAAACCCUAGAGUGGUUAUUUUCUCUUCUUCCUCUUUCUUCCUAUUUUUCAUUGUUAACAUGGUAUCAGAGCUUUGGUUGAUUUUGGGAUCUACCGUAGAGAAGAGAGAGACUAUUUUGAUAGGAAAGACAACCACCAAAAGAGAAAAGAGAAGAGUAACCCUAUUCCCGAUUUUGUUAAAUCAGUCUCAGAAAAACAUCGAUUGCGCAUUCGUUAACCAUUGGAUCGGUCUGAUUUUUGGACAGCAGGUUCGCAACAUAUAGGUCUUCGUCUUCAACGGUCGGAUCGACGAAACGACGUCUGGAGAGGGAGAAAUCGUGCUCGCACAGCACCAGGUUAUUCUUAAUUUAUUUUCUCUCAGUGAUUGUGUUUGUCGUAUUUUUCUGUCAUUAUUUGUUAUGGCUGGUGUUAAGGAUGAUUCUCUUCAAGCUGUUAGUGUUCACCUCAAUGGACAAAAUUACUCUUAUUGGAGUUAUGUGAUGAAAAAUUUUUUGAUUGGAAAAGAUAUGUGGGGUUUUGUUGAUGGAACUUCUGUUAAGCCUACAGAUAAAAAGGAUGAAACUCAAUAUGCAAAAGAUCUGAAAACAUGGAAUGUUAGUAAUUCAAAAAUUAUUACUUGGAUUAAUAAUUCUGUUGAGUUGUCUAUAGGAGUACAACUAGCAAAAUAUGAUACUGCUAAAGAGAUUUGGGAUCACUUGAAACGUUUGUAUGUUCAGUCUAACUUUGCAAAACGUUAUCAGUUAGAAAGUGAUAUUAGAGCCCUUAAGCAGAGCAGUAUGACCAUUCAGGAAUUCUAUUCGGCAAUGACUAAUCUGUGGGAUCAAUUGGCUCUUAUGGAAUCACCUGAGUUGAAAGCUGUCAAAGCAUACAUUGAUCAAAGAGAGGAGCAACGUCUGGUUUGGUUUCUAAUGGCUCUUCGUGAUGAUUUUGAGGGCCUUCGUGGGGGUAUUUUGCAUCGUUCCCCCCUUCCUAAUGUUGAAUCAGUAGUUAGUGAAUUGUUGGCAGAAGAAAUCAGACUUAAGACUCAUUCUGGUAUGUUAAAUAAGGAAAUUCUCUCAGCUCCUCCAUCUGUUUUUGUUGCUCCUGUUCAAAAAAAAACAUCUCAAGGGAGAGUUGGGCUUGGUAAUGAUGAAUGUGCAUUCUGCAAAGAAAAAGGUCAUUGGAAAGCACGUUGUCCGAAAUUGGGGAGAACACAUCGUCUGUGUCAGUUAUGACUGCUGAUGGCACUCCUAUGCCACUAGCAGGCAUUGGUUCUGUCUCCACACCUAACUUGUCUCUUUCUAAUGUUUAUUAUAUUCCUAAUCUUACUUUGAGUCUUGCUUCUGUUAGUCAAAUAUGUGAUUUCGGUUAUUCGGUUACGUUUUCUUCCACUUCUUGUUGUGUGCAGGAUCCACAUUCUGGGAGGCUGAUUGGGACAGGCCAUAGACAGGGGGGACUUUACGUUUUGGAUGAACUACGACUCCCAGAUAUUGCAGCCUCAACAACUACUGCUGACUUAUUAUCUAGUUUUCGCUUGAAUUCAUUAUCUUCUAGUUUUUAUUUAUGGCAUUCUCGCCUUGGACAUGUUUCUGCUUCUAGAUUAAAAUAUUUGGCUUCUACUGGAGCCUUAGGAAAGUUAAAACCCUGUGAUAUCUCAGAUUGUUGUGGUUGUAAACUUGCUAAAUUUCCAGCUUUACCGUUUAGUAAAAGUGUUUCCGUUUCAUAUGCGCCUUUUGAUUUAGUUCACUCUGAUGUUUGGGGUCCAUCACCGGUGCUCACCAAAGGUGGAUCUAGAUAUUAUGUUUCGUUUAUUGAUGAUUACACUCGUUAUUGUUGGGUUUAUCUUAUGAAAAAUCGGUCUGAAUUUUUUGACAUUUAUCAUAUAUUUCGUGCAAUGGUCAAAACUCAACAUAAUUCUGUUAUAAAGUGUUUUCGUUGUGAUUUAGGUGGUGAAUAUACCUCUAAUAAAUUUUCUGAAUUACUUGCUUAUGAUGGCACUCGCCACCAAACAUCUUGUACUGAUACUCCUCAACAAAAUGGAGUUGCUGAAAGGAAACAUCGUCACAUUAUAGAGACUGCUCGUUCCCUUUUGUUGUCCGCUUCAGUUCCUAGUGAGUUUUGGGGAGAAGCAGUUCUUACUGCUGUUCAUGCUAUUAAUAGAAUUCCAUCCUCUAUCAUAUCAGGUUUGUCUCCCUUUGAAAAAUUAUAUGCUUCUACCCCUGAUUACUAUUCUUUGAAAGUUUUUGGUUCUACUUGUUUUGUUCUUCGCCCUCAAGUAGAGCGCAGUAAGUUGUCUUCUCGUUCAGCCAUGUGUGUUUUUCUUGGUUAUGGGGAUGGUCAAAAGGGUUAUCGUUGUUAUGAUCCUCAUGCAAGAAAACUUUAUGUAUCUCGUAAUGUUGUUUUUCUUGAGCACAUUCCUUUUUACUCUGUUUCCUCUGAUUCGCAGAUUACUAAGAGUUCUGAACUAACCCAUAUUGAUCCGUUUGGUCCUAAUGAUAGCGCUUCUAGUGAUUGUACUAUUGAGAAUUGCAGGACAAAUACUACUACUCCACAUGAUGACAUCCCUCUUGUCCCCCCGGCUGUCCAACCACCUCCUGCGAUUGUUGAUCCUCCUCGUUACCCUUCUCGUCAACGUAAGUCUACUCAGUUACCUGAUUUUGUCUAUUCAACUUACUCAGCUUCGUUUGCUUCUUUCUUAACCUCUAUUCACAGUUUGUCUGAGCCCUCUUCCUAUAAAGAGGCUGUUCUUGAUCCUCUUUGGCAGCAGGCUAUGGCAGAAGAACUAUCUGCAUUGCACAAAACCAACACUUGGGAAUUAGUACCUCUUCCUCCUGGAAAACGUGCUAUUGGGUCUCGUUGGGUAUACAAGAUCAAAACUAAGUCUGAUGGGUCAGUUGAGCGCUACAAAGCACGUCUUGUUGCUAAGGGUUUCUCUCAACAAUAUGGUAUGGAUUAUGAAGAAACUUUUGCUCCUGUAGCCAAGAUGACCACUAUUCGUACUCUUAUUGCAGUUGCAUCUAUUCGUCAAUGGCAUAUUUCCCAAAUGGAUGUCAAAAAUGCCUUUUUAAAUGGUGAGCUUCAUGAAGAAGUCUAUAUGGUCCCUCCACAAGGAGUUUCUCAUGAUCCAGGGGAAGUAUGUAAGUUAAAAAAGGCUCUAUAUGGUCUUAAACAAGCUCCUCGAGCUUGGUUUGAGAAAUUCUCUACUGUGAUCACUUCUCUUGGUUUUCGCUCUAGUGAACAUGAUUCUGCAUUGUUUAUAAGGUCCACCACUCAUGGUCGCAUUAUACUUUCUCUAUAUGUUGAUGAUAUGAUUAUUACAGGUGAUGAUGUUAGUGGAAUUAAUGAGUUGAAAUUGCAGUUAGCCAAACAGUUUGAGAUGAAGGACUUGGGAACUCUUCGCUAUUUCUUGGGGAUUGAAGUUGCCUACUCUCCUAGAGGCUACCUUCUUUCUCAAUCCAAGUACAUUGCCAACAUUCUUGAUCAGGCUCGUCUUUCUGAUACUAGAGCAGCAGAUACUCCUCUUGAGUUGAAUGUAAAAUAUGCUCCCUCGGAUGGUGUUCCUUUACCAGAUUCCACUUUGUAUCGUACUUUGGUUGGCAGCUUAGUGUAUCUUACGAUUACCAGACCUGACAUUGCUUAUGCUGUUCAUGUUGUUAGUCAGUUUGUUGUCUCCCCCACUACAGUACAUUGGGCAGCAGUUCUUCGGAUUCUUCGUUAUCUUCGAGGAACUCAAUUUCAAAGUCUUCUCUUUCCAUCGUCAUCCUCAUUGGAGUUACGAGCUUAUUCUGAUGCUGAUUGGGCUGGUGAUACCACUGAUCGUAAAUCCACCACAGGGUUUUGUAUCUUUCUUGGAGACUCUCUUAUUUCUUGGAAGAGUAAGAAACAAGACAUUGUCUCUCGCUCUUCUACAGAAGCUGAAUAUCGUGCUAUGGCAUCCACUACCGCUGAAAUAAUUUGGUUGCGUUGGCUUUUGUCUGAUAUGGGUAUCUCUCUUGCUGAGCCAACUCCGAUGCACUGUGAUAACAAGAGUGCUAUUCAAAUUGCUCACAACUCGGUCUUUCAUGAACGCACCAAACACAUUGAGAUUGAUUGUCAUUUUACUCGUCAUCAUCUUCAGCAUGGAACUAUUACUCUACCAUUUGUCCCUUCUUCUUUACAGAUUGCUGAUUUGUUCACAAAGAUGCAUUCCAUUAAACAUUUCUGUUUUUUAGUUGACAAACUCUCGAUGCUCCCUGUUAAUGCAUCGUGAGUUUGAGGGGAGAUAUUAGAUAAUAUUAUUAUAUAUUAGUAGUAAGGGUAUUUUAGAUAUUUUCUAUUUUCUUCUAUAUAUACUCAUUGUAACCCUAUUAACUUUAGUUUUGGUUUAUUAUAUGAUAUGAAACCCUAGAGUGGUUAUUUUCUCUUCUUCCUCUUUCUUCCUAUUUUUCAUUGUUAACAAGCACAAACUCAAAAAGAAAUGAUAACUAUCUCAUAGCCACCACAACCCUAUAUCAUGAAAAGCCACAAUUGAGUUUGCAUAAUGCGAUUCAAUAUUGCUAUACAACUAACAAUUUGAUAGAGCUAGUGGAAGAUAAAUCAUAUAAGAAUGGAUAUGCGAAUACUAAAGAGUAUGGUGUUUAGUUUUCUUCUUUUACCUAUUUAACCAUAUAUGUAUAUAAAAAAUUCAAAUAAUUGUCUACUUACCUAUUUAACUAUUUAACCAUAUAUAUUUUAACCAUAAUUUAUCUAUAAAGAAUUAUAGUUAUAGAAAUAUAAGUAUUGAAAUUUUUAAAAUUGAGGAGGAAAUGACACGUAGGAUUUAGUUUUAGGAGAGACUGAUACAUAGAUUUUGCUCUUAAUAAAGGAUUUACAAAAAUAUAGAUUAUAUUAUAAAUUAUUAUUAAUAUUAUAUAGAUAAAUAUGGAUACAUAUGGUAUUAAUAAAAUAAAAAUGGAAAUAAAUCGAUCUUAGAAAAGUGAUUUGGGAAUUAAAUCAACAAAAAUAUCAAGCGAGAAUGACAUUGCAAGUUUACUGCAAAUUAUUGAAAGACAUUAGUAAGUCCAAUAUCCCUUAUUUUCUAUUUUGAAAACAAUAUACUACAAUAUAACUUUUAUUUAUUUAUGAAAACUACAAUAAGAUUUUGAAGCAAAUAAUGAUAACAUAGAUUCAUAUGUAAAAAGAAUAAAGUACACCAAAACCUCAUCAAAGUUUGCCUAAGUAAAUAAAGCCUACCUUUGAACAUUUUUGCAUAAGCCUCCAUAAAAUUAGAUGAAACCUUCAUAAACCUUUUGGUGUCGACAAAUACCUUAUUUUUUUUAGUAUGAAUUGAAAAUAAAGAACAAAAGGAAUUCGUAAUUAUAAAUUGUAUUAAACAAAUUAGUCUAUAGACAUAAUUGUUAAGUAACUUGUAAUUCAAAUAAUGUAACAAUUGAAGGUUGUAACUAACUAACCAAUUAGUUAGUUAAUCAGUUAAUUAGAUGGUAGUUAGAAUGUAUAAGAAUAACCUAUGUACAAAUAAGUCUUACCAUUCAUUCAUCUAGUACAUUUUAUGUUUUCUUUGAUGUACAAGUAACAACUUGAUAACUAACAAUUGGUAUCAGAGCAAGUGGUUUUUGAUCCAAAUCAUAGUAACAAACACGAGUGAAGUGUGAGGAUUAAAACACAAGUGAAGUAAAGAAGAAUUCAAGAGAAAAUAAUGGAAAUUUCAAGUCAAUAUGCCACACUUUGAUGGAAAAGAUUGGGAUAAACAAAGCGUCCAAAUUUGAGCAUUAUUUGGAUUUCAAGAAGUAUUAGAAAUCAUAGAAAAUGAUUUUGAGGAUCUCGGAGCUAAUCCAAAAAAGGUAUAGAGAUCAAGUUUUAAAGAAAACAAGAAGAAAUAUUGCAAAGUUACAUUCAUUCUUCAUCAAUGCCUUGAUACAACCAACUUUGACAAGAUGUCUUAUGUAAGAAAUGCAAAAGAAGUAUGAGACAUUCUUGAGAAGUGUUAUUCAUGAGGAACCAAGGUAAAGAAGGUGAAGUUGCAUACCUUACAAAGGAAGUUUGAGCUGUAGUGAAGAGAGGAACAAUAAAAGGUAUCAGACUUGAUUUCAAGAUUAAGAACCAUCACAAAUCAGAUGGUUGGUUGUAGUGAGAAGUUGACUGAACAAAAAUUCUAUGAGAAUACUCUAAGAUAAUUAGAAGCUGAAGGUGUUGGCAACAUGGUAAUCAAAAGAAGAAAUGAAAAGACAACGGUGAUUGAAAAUGUGUUGUAUGUGCAAGGGAUGAAAAACAAUUUGUUGAGCAUAGGCCAGCUGAUUCAGAAAGGAUUUCAAGUAAUUAUGAAGAAUGAUUCACUAGAAAUGUAUGAUAGACAAAAGAAGAUGAUACCGAAGGUUCUCCUAUCAAAGAACAUAACCUUUGUCAUAAACAUACAAGCUUUAGACAUCCAAUAUUUGAAGCCAGUGAGCUCAAUUGAUGAGAACUUGUUAUGGCAUUCAAGGUUUGGUCAUCUGAAUUUUAGAAGUUUGCAGCAACUAGGAAAAAAGAAGACAGUAAGUGACAUUCAUGUGAUUGAUGUUCUUGAGAAGGUGUGUGAUGUGUGUAUGAAAGGAAAACAAUAAAGGAACUCAUUCAAAUCACAAGUGCAAGCAAGAGCAAAUGAUUGUCUUUAAGUGGUUCAUAGUGACGUCUGUGGAUCAAUUGAGGUGCCAUCAUUAGGAGGCAAUAAGUACUUCAUAACAUUUCUUGAUGAAUUUAGUAGAAUGUUGUGGAUUUAUUUGAUAAAGACCAAAGGUAAAACAUUUGAAAAUGUUAAAGAAUUUCAGAGUGAAAGUUGAAAAAUAAAAUCGAAAAAUUGUAAAAGUGCUAAGGACAUAUGAAUGUGGUGAGUAUACAACAAUGAGUUUGAGGAACUCUGUGUCAAGCAUGAAACUGAAUGGACUGACUAGAGAAGAAACAAAACCAUCCUAGACACGACUAGAAGUAUGUUGAAAGGAAAUGAAUUACCACACAAGUUUUAGGGUGAGGCUGCAUGAACUGUUGUCUACAUCCCGAAUAUGUGUCUAACAUAGAAGCUGCCAGCGGAUAUUUGGAGUGGUGGGAAACCAGUUGUAGGGCACUUAAGGACAAUUGGUGGUCUAUGUUUCAAGCAUGUGCCAGACAAGAAAAGAAGAAAAUUGUAAGACAAAAGUGAAGCCAUGAUCUUGGUUGAGCAUCAUCCAACUAAUACAUACAAACUGUAUGAUCCUACUAAUGAAAAGAUUGUAGUUAGUAGAGAUGUGAAAAUAGUUCUGCAAGAAAAUUAGGACUGGAAAAUGAAGCCAACAACACCAACCAACUCUGGGACUGGAGAUAGAAUCCUAGCAGCACCAGCCAUCACUGGGAACAGGAGACCAACAACAUCAGCCAACGUACACAAAUUCCUGCACCAAUGCUAAAUUAUCAUCAGGCCAGUGGAGACACAAUUGAAGAAAUGCUAGAAUCAAACAAAUCUUAUAAAGCAAGACAACCACCAACACAUUUAAGAGAAUUUGAAGUAUAUAAUGAUAAUGAAAUUGACAACAAGGGAGUUCCAGUACACUUUGCACUAUUUGCAAAUACAUAACCCUUAAAUGUUGAAGAAGCUAUGAAGAAAGUGAAGUAGCAAUACCAAUCACAAGAAAAUGGGGUUUGAAUUGUGAUUUCACCUUUUUUAAAUUUUCUACUAAAACUUAAAGAAUUUAACUCAAGAUUAAUCUUGGUUAUGAAAAUAGAAAACAAAUAACGUUCUUGGUUAGUGAAAAAUACAUAAUUUAAUUUAUCUAUUUAAUUUGAUAAUCAAAAAGCUAGAAAUAAAUAGAGAUAAGGGAAAAGAUAUUACACAUAGAUAUAUUUUGGUUCACCCAACUUGGGUUACGUCCAGUCCUCACAAUCGUGAGAUUUUUCACUAAGUGUUCAAAACGGAGAACAUUAUUGGUUUUUACACCACCAGUCCAGAUCAACCUUGAUCUGUUACAAUAUUCACCUUUCAACCUAGAAAUGAUUUUUACAAUCAGCUUUCAGCCUUGAAAGGAUUUUUACAAUCACAUUUCAGCCUUGAAAGGAUUUUUACAAACACACUCAAUCUAACAUAAAAUAUAGACUUGAGUUACACAUGAUAUGUAUGAUAGAAGUGUGUGGGAUCUUGAAACUUCUCAACACUUGUUUGAGAUAAAUUAAAGACAAACUCAGUAAAUAAUGAUCUAAAGAUAUAGUGAAGAGAGAUGGAGUUUGCUUGAAGAGUUUUUUGAAUUGUUACUUGAACAAGUGUUGGUAGAUUUGUAAAUUGAACUCUUGCCUUUAUCUUCCAAUUGAUCUUCAAUUUAUAUAUGUUAAAAGGCUUUGAAUAUCUAGUUUAAAAUGAAUAUAUCCAUUGGACACACUUCCCAAGUGUCAGAUAUAUUUUGAAGCAAUUAAACAUGAGUUUACUUGUUGUCCAUAAUGUUCUUGACAAAACGGAUAACAUUCUUGCUUUUGGGUCUCAUGGAAAACGUGAAUGAGUUGUCACAUAUUAGUUGACACUGUUUUGAGUCAGGUUUAUGCAUAAAUUUCUGUAGAAUAUUGUAAGUACAAUGUAAUUGUGUCUUGCUCACAACUCAUUAAUUUGAAUAUCAAUCUUGAGGUUGUUUUUCUCUUUUAGACAUUCAGUUCGAGUUCUGGGCUUCACCAUUGAUUUGAGUAGUCUUGAUACUCUUUAAUAUGUGGUUUAUACUAUGGAAAAUUAUCAGUUUUAAUUCUGUCUUUAAAAUAGCAUUAAAACUAGAAUGCUCUUUUGUAAAACAAGAACAUUCUUCGUUUUCUGUUUUGUAUGAGUGUUGGAUUUUGACAACUGUUGUGUGUCAAUCCUUUGUCUCAGAAACAUGAUGUGCUUUUAGCAAAAAGGUUCAGCANNNNNNNNNNNNNNNNNUUCAGCAGCAGUGUCCUUGUUGUCAUGAUUGUCCUUGCUCAUAGCUCAUCAAUUUGAAGAUUGAUCUUGAUGUUUUGCUUUGCCUUUGUUGAUCCUCUUUGAUCGAAUCUAUCCAAAACAAUCUUGUGUAUAUUAUUAAUUUUCUCUAUGAUGAAUGCUAAUGUUUUGUAGUGUAGAUAUAUGUACUUUUGCAGCUCAGAUCUAUCUUAAAUUACAAUAGAUUUUACUCUUUGUAAAUGAGAACGUUCUUGGAUUAAAGUUGUGAAAACGGAGAACACUCUUCGUUUUCUGUUUUAAGUGUAUAACAAUUGGAUAUGAAUUUUGUUUGUAUAGCAAUUGUUCUACAAGUGUACCACUGAUGUAUUUUCUCUUUUGUUCAUAUCUUACUUUGAUUUUAAGUCAUUACUCUAAAGAAUCAAAACUUGUAACUUCAUACAUUGCUUAUGUCAUUCUGAGUUUGUUAAAUGAAUCUGUCUAAGGUUUCCUUGCGUGUUCCAUUCUAAUUAUUCUGAUAGUUACUUGCAAUUUGUCAUGCAUCUUGAUGAGUUAUUAUAGUUUGAAUGAAUCUUGAUUUCCAGAAGGCUUUGUUCUUCGUAAACCAUAAUGUUCUUGGAUUAAUGCUGUUAAAAAUAGAACAUUCUUCGUUUUUCAAACUACUGUCUAGAAUGAUAUUUGUUUUCCAGAAUACUCUCAAGAAUGUUCUUCACUUUUCUGUUUAAUAACCCAAACAUUCUUUGUUUCUCAUAUUUGAUCUUGCUUCUUUUAAAUGAUAUUGCUUCUGGUUUAUAGCAUAAUAUGAUCAUUGAUUGUUGUAUGAAUGCAUUUGACCAUCUUCUUCAUGAAAAUGCUAUCUUGAAGAUGUAAUAAUCAUUCUCUUGAAUGAUUGAUAUAUGAUACAUUCCUUUUAAGAUUAUUUCAUUAUUGAUGCAUUUUGAUGAAGUGAAUGACUUCUUGCUUGUUCACUUAUGCAGUUCAUAAUCUUUAAACAAAACUCAAGUGCAAUCAUUAGUAGACCACCAAUCAUAAAUUUAAUCAUUUAUUUUAUAGAGUUUGUUGUCAUUAACUCAUAUAUCAAAAAGGUUUUUGCCUCAACAUAGAGUAUAUUGGAAUAAAUAAAUGAUAGAAGAAAUGAAGACAAUUAAGAAGAAUCAUACUUGGUACAUGAUUGACUUACCUCCAAAACAAAAGCAAAUAGAAGUUAAAGGGGUCUACAAACUAAAGCUAAAUCCAGACAGAACAAUUGCUAAAUACAAAGCAAGAUUUGUUGUCAAAUGAUUCUUAUAAAUGGCAUACAUAAACUAUUAUGAAGUGUUUGCUCCAGUGUCCAGGAUAUUGCUGUUUAAAAAUUUUCUCACGGGUUUUGAAUCAUUAUCCUCUCAUAGAGGAUGAGAUAAUUUAAGUCUUUAAAUUUGAGCUGAAUAAAUGAUAGAGAAAGUAAAGAAGAUGACACACACAACUUUUAUACUGGUUCGUCCAAUGAAGGUUACGUCCAGUCUUCACACACUUGUGAGUUUUUACUAAAGAUCAAAAUGAUUAAUCUCUCACAGAGGCUGAUUACACUUUGUGUAUUCUUUAACCUUAUCAAGCUUACAACCUUGUUUCUUGCAUGUUCCAACUAUUUCCAAGUGUAACUCACGUAGAAAUUACAAAGUGAUAUGAAUAUGAUAUUUCUCUUAACACUUUCUAAAAUGAUAUUUCAAAGAUCUAGUGUAAGACUAUAUAAAAUAUAAAGAGAUGAUGGAAAUUGCUCUUGAUAGCUUUAAGAAUCUUGCUCUUUUUAUGCAAUGUUGUUGUGUAUUGAUGAUGAAGAGCUCCACGACUUUUAUAGAGAUCUUGUGAUGGUCUUUUCAAAUGUUGAACACUUUAUGACCGUUGGGGACUUAAUUAAAAUGUCCAAGGCCAUGCAUCAUAAUUACAGAACUGUCAUUCAGCUGUCCUUGGACUGAUUGAGUCCAUCCUCGUACAGGAGGUUCAAACCUCCUAUGAACUUGGACGUGAAUUGUCCUUUUCUUUUUCCAUUCUUCAAGUGUCUUGUUAGCUACUACCUUUUUGUAAGUUGAUGUUGGGACGAUUUCAACAUACGAGAGUGGUGUGUUGGGUCGCUUUCAACAUCUAAGGAUGAUCUUGACUAUAGAUCCAUCCUAUAACCUCGUAUAGUCCGUCCUCGUACCUAUUAAAUCUGUCCUCUGACUUAUUUGUUUAAAUUGCUUGAUUUAUUCAUUCUUUGAUACUAAUUUGUCUUCUUUUUUAUGAAUAAAAAACAUUAUUUCAGUGAGGAUGAAUAUUUUGCAACUUUGAAGGUUCAUCCUCUUAGAGGUUCAUCCUCUUGUAUGUCUAUCCUCCAGAAUUGAAUACUUGAAUCAAAUUUUUCUCCUUUUUAUCUUAAUGAUGAAUAACCUAUUUUCUUAUAAGAACUCACUCAAAAGCAUGAAUUAGUCAUUAACCACAAUCAUAAUUUUUUAAAUAAUUUUGUUAUCAUUAAAAUCAUUUGAGAGAGAUUUUGUCUCAACAAAUGACACAUAGGAUAUUUUUGUUAUUAUUGCAUUAGAGAAUAACACAUGUGAUUAAGGAUUAUUAAAGAGUGACACUUGGGAAAUAGUUUAUUUAGAAGUUACUAGGAAAUAUAUAUAUUAUGAUUAAUAGUAUAAAUAUUUCAUGCAAUUGAGAGUGAAAAUAGCUUAGUCGAGUUAUGAUUUAUAAGAAUCGAGUCUCGUUUUUCAAAAAAAUUAAGACAUAUAAGUCUUAUAUGUUGUUUGACGUAAGUUUACGUUUUAGACCGAGUCUAACCUUAAUAUUAGUCUAGUAUGACAUGUUAGUCAACUUAAAAACUUUUUUUAUUUUAACAUAUUUGAAUAAGUAAUCAAACAUAUAUUUAAAUAGAUUAAUGCGUUAAUAUAGCAACGGAAUUAAGUUAUAUUUUAAUAUUUAACAUGACAUUUUGAAGAAUAUGACUUUAUACACAUCAUACUUUAAUUCCAUUUUAUAAUAAUACAUUAAAAUAUGUCAAAAACUAAAGAAGAUUAAUAUGCAUAAAUUACUAAGAGUUUAAUAUAUAACAAAAAUAUCAAAAUUUAAUAUAAUAUAUAAAAAAUAUUAUUUAUAUUUAUUUAAAUAUGUCAGUAUAAUAGACCUAAAAGGCUCAUUAUGUGUAUAUAGUAUAAUUUUUUUGUUUAAUUAAAUAGAUUUUUUUUUACAAUUUUUGACCUAUGUUUUAAAAAAAGAUAUGUGCUAACGUAUGCUAGGUCGUAAACCAUUGUUGAUCGGUCUGAUUUAUUUCCACGCCUACGUACAAUAUUGCACGGAUUAAUAUUCACUCUGAAAAUUUUAAAUUUUUUAAAUAAUAUAUUUUAAUGUUAUGUUGAAUAUGUUAAAACCAAUUAAUCAUGAAUAUAUUUUAAUUUAUUUGUUAGUGAUUUAAAUCCCGUUUAUUACAAUUUUACCUUUUAAAAGAAUUACUUUUUUUAAAAUAAAAAUAAUUACUUUUGUAAGUUUUAGUCUAUUUUUUUUUAUAUCUUUUUGACAAACUUGAGAAUUAAAAAAAUUUAUAUAUAAAAAUUACUUUAAAUGAGAAGUUAUUUUUAGUAAUUUCUAAAAAAAUGAAUUUUAUAACUAAUUUAAAAAAAAUUAUGAAAUAAACAUAAAAUAAAUUUUUUUAUUUCUAAAAAAUAAUUUCUAAAUUACCGAAUACCAAAAUCACUUAUUUUAUAUUUUAUAUAAAACAUAACAUAAUAUAAUUAGAAUAUAUUUCCUCCAAAAUAAAAUAUAUAUAUAUAUAUAUAUAUAUAUAUAUAUAUAUAUAUAUAUGUUGAUUUAAAUUUAUCACUUAUCUUUGGACUCGAUUCCUCAUUUUAAGAUACUCAAUAAAGAUCAAGGGUAUUAAAAGAAGUAGUUAUAAUAAUAUAAACUUGUUAAGAGUUUAUGAUACUUUUGAGGCUUAAUUGUAGUUUUGGUCACUCUAUUUUAGCUGAAUUGCGAAAGUAGUCACUUCAUUUUGUUUAUCUCCAGUUUUGGUUCCCCAAACAGAAUUUUGGUCCAAAACUUGAUGAAAUUUCAUUUUUUUAAAACCGUACUAUACCAUUUAUGAUAAUAGAUUUCAAUUACAAUUGUUGCAAAUGAGAUCUUGAGGCAUGAUGUCACUUAAAUAGAUACAAAAAAAUAAAAUUUCAUCAAGUUUUGGACCAAAAUUCUGUUUGAGGAACCAAAACUGGGGAGAAACAAAAUGGGGAACUACUUUCGCAAUUCAGUUAAAAUAGGAGGACCAAAACUGCAAUUAAGCCUACUUUUAAAUAUUUAGCCUUUUUCAUAUAUCUUUUAUAAAAGAUCAAAAUAUUAUAUUUUUUAAUGGUAAAUUGAAUAUAGGUUUUUCUUCGAUAAUAAAUAAAUACAUGUUGAAUUAUUGUAAUAUUAGAUGAAUAGUUGCUAUUUAUUUUAGAACCAUUAACUCUCUAGAAUUUCUUUAAAAGAUAUCUAUAGUUGAUUGCAAAACACUAAACAUAUAUUCUUAAAGGUAUUAUAAACUAUAUAUCAUUAAAAGUGUGUAGAUACAUCACUCUCAUGUCAUGUUCUCUUUUUAGCUAAAAAAAUGCUCAUUAAUUGUAAAAAUAAAUAAAUUACAUUUCAUAAUCUAUCCUUCGUCAAAACUUGUUCUACGAAUAUAAAAUGUUAAAAAUCUAAAUUGAUUGAUAGAUAAUUAAGAAACAAUAGCAUUAAAUAUAAUUUAAAAUAGUUAAAUUUUACCUAUAUUUUAAAUCGCCCAAAAUAAAUCAUAAACUGUUUACCAUUAAUUGUCUCUUAGCAUUAUUUUUCUUAUGCAUAUCUUUUGUAUGAUCACAUCAUUCUCAUAUAUAUUAUAUAUAUUAUGUACUCUCUUCAAUCUUUUCUAUAUAAAAAAAAAAUAUUUUCGUAUAUUUCAAAAAAGUGUAUAAAAUAAUAAUUACAUUUUAUAAUUUUCCUCUCAUAAAAACUUGUUCAAUUCAUAUAAAAUGUUACAAAUUUGAAUUAAUUGAAGGGUAAUUAAAGAAUCAUAGCAUUAAAUUUUACUAAUAUGUUAGAUCAUUAAACAUAUAAAGGGUUUGUUGCUUAUAUUAAUUCAAUUUUUUUUUGAAAAAAAAUUUCUUUCCACAAAUUGAUAAAAAUUACAUUGAUCAUCAAUAUAAUUUAAAGCUGCUAAAACAAAAACAAUAGAUAUAUGAACAAACUUAUAACACCUAAGUUAAUACCAUAAAAUGACAUAAUGACUAUAAUUGUGACAAAUCCUACAAUUGUCCAAAAUAAACAUGUGUCCGUAACUGGAAAGUUGAAGACGACAAUUUGGGGUGUAUAUGGGUUGGGUUGGGCCAAUUUUGACAAAACCCAAUACCGGACUCAAUCGAUUAUAUUUGAGUUGGGUUAAAUUCUAAACCCGUAUUUUUUUCAUUUAACUCGAACGAAACUAAUCUGAUCAAGAACACGUUGGAUUGAGUUAGGUUGACGGGUUAUACAUAAAUAAUAACCUAUUUUUAAUUUUACGAGAAAAUAUAUUGAAUGAAAAUAUAUUUAAAACUUGAAUGUCUAAAAAACUAUAAAAAUUCAAUCACAUCAUUCAAUUCUUUAAAAAAUCAUCAACCUCUCAUACAAAAAAAUAAAUCGAACAAUCUUCAAAUACAUAAAUAAAUUCAAUAACAAUAAAAUAUAAAAAUUCAUCAAUUCUAAGCAAUGUCAACUUCAAGUAUAAAUACUUAACAAAAUUAUAAGGCCAAAACAAAUUAGAUAUUAAAUUGCGAGAAAAAUUCAGUAUUUAGCCUAGAUGCAUUAACACCUUACAUAAGCAUUCAUAUAAAAAUUAGUUAUUAAUAAUAUUUUAUUAUAACUAAUUUGUAUAAAAAUCAUAACAGUUGUGAGCACUUACACAACAAAAGAAGAAGGUGGACGGCGACGCGACUUCAAGAAGCUACAAAUCUAAAGAGAAAGAGUAAUGAAACCCUAUGAAACUGUUGUGACUGACAAACAAUUUUUUUUGAAAAAAUAUAUAACUAGUUACCGAGUCGGAUUGAAGGGUUCAAAUUGUUAAACCCAUUACCCGAACCAAAUAUAAGUGAGUUUCAACGGGUCGGAAUUGGGUAUGACCUGAAAGUGACUGGAUACAGGUCAAAAUCGGGUUGAGUGAUCUGGUUGGCGGGUCGGCCCGCACCCAUGUACACUCCUUAAUUAAAAUUAAAUAUGUACUUGAUUGAAAUUAAUUUAUCAAUUUAAAUCAAAUGAAUACCACAAAAAACAAAACAUUAAACAUCACAUCAAGACGUAAAAUACCAAUACAAGAAAACUAAAUAUAUAUAUAUAUAUAUAUAUAUAUAUAUAUAAUAUUUAUUUAAUUAAAGAAAAAAAUUAAAAAAGUGAUUUUAAAAUAAACAAUAACCGUAUAUCCCUUUUUAAUAGAUAAAAAAGAAGGUAAAUGUUUGGGAGCUGUUAAUUGUUAUGAAUUGAUUAUAUUAACUCAAUUACUAGUUACCAAUUUAGCAAACAUAUAUUUAUUUUUCUGUGAUAAAUCUGAGUAAUUGAGCAUUAAAAUGUGUGAUAUUGUGACACAUAAGUUUUUAUUGGAUGGUUUAAUAUAGUGACAGAGUGACUCGUUGAAAUUUGAUCCCUUUAACAGUGUAUUUCCCAAUUUAUUAUCUUUUUAAAUGCGCUUUUCUUUACCUCUUGAUUUUUCAAGUUAUUAUGCUUUAAUGAUUUUCAAUGUUUCUCAUUUUGUUGGGCCUUAAUUUAGUGUGAUUAAAUGUGUCUAUUUUUUUUUCAAAUCGUUAUCUAAUAUUGUGAAACCUUUGAAUGUCAGUCAAAGAGAUAUUUUUUAUUUUUAAUGCUUCUGGAUGUUUUAAAAAUUUAGUAGUAGAUAUAUAAAAUAUGUGUGUUUUUUAUUUUAUUUUAUAUAAAUUUGAAAUAUAUCAUUUCCAUCACUAUGUGUACAUAAUUUAUAUUUAAUUUUUUCUUUGCCUUUUCUUUAAUAAUUACCAAAUAUUAAUUGAUUUGAAUAAUUAAUAAAUUUUAACAAUUUAAUUUUUUAUUCUGAGAUUUUUGUUAUAUUUAAAUAAUGCAGUAGCAUAUCUAUAGAAUAUAAUAUCCUUCUAAAUUUAGAAAAGAAUUUUCCCAUUAAUAAUUUAAAUGAUAAUUGAAUUGCAUGAUUUUAAGACGAUAUUGUAUGAAUCAAUGUGAGAGUGUGAAAUGAAGUGUGAGUUACUGAGAGUGUUAAGUGAGAUAUGAGUUAUUUUAUAAAAUAACAAAUAUGAAAGAGUUCGUUAAAAAACUAUUAGUAAAUAUUAUUGAUUAUUAAUGUAAUUGACGCGUGUGAUGCACAAAUUAAUAUUCAUUCAUAAAAUAUAUAUUAUAAUUCACAAAGAAAAGAGAAAUAACAAUUUUACAAAGUUGUUCUAAUUAAAUAUUAGUAUAUUUCAAUUACCAUAAACAUAAAGAAGUGGGAUAAUAAGAGUGGUGAACAUAUUAUUAAUAAGAAGAUAUAUUAGAGGAUAUAAUUUGAAAAAAAGUUGUAUUGAAAACUUGAAGUGUCAUUCUUUUUUAGAUAAGAUAUUUUUGCAAAUGUUACGAUUAUUGUAGGAAUAGAGGAGUAUCCUUCUAUACAAUAAUUUAGAACUUUAUAUUUUGUCAUAUAAGUAUAAUAUAUAUAUAUAUAUAUAUAUAUAUAUAUAUAUAUUAUUGAAGUAUUAUAUUUAUUUAUCAGUUAUGUUUAAUAUUUAUUUAUUUAUUUAUAACAAUUUUGAUGUAAUAUCUUUCAACAAAAUUUUGAUAUAAUAUUGAAAAAAAAUACCAAUGUUCAAAUAAUAUUUAUUUUUCCUCCGCCUCUGCAUUUUAUCAAAAUUCCAAUAAUACCUAUUUAUGUUUAAAUACGUUCCAUAAAUCGCUAAUGUUAAGUUUGACCAUAUUUCAUAAAACUCAAUUUUUAAGUUUUAUUAUACUUAAUUUCUUAAAUUAUAUUAUAUAAAACUCCAAUGAAGAUUUUAUAAAAUAAAUAUAUAUUAUUUACUAUUCCAAAUUUCAAAAUUUGAAUUUCACACUGUAUAUAUAUUUUAAAAAUAAAUACCACAAAACUUAAAUUUAUUAUAUAAUGGAAGUAUAGUAUUAAAAAAUUAUAAAAAUUAAAAAAAAGGGGUUAUUUUUAUUAAUUUAAUAAUUUUAAUGUGGGAGGAUUAGAUGUGGGGAUAUAAAAAAAAAACAUCCUUCCUUAUUUUAUUUUCUUGGGCAUUUUGAAUUUGGGCCACGAUCAAGAGCCCAAAACGAUAUUGCAAUAUUGCAAACCUCAAUGAAACGAUGUCGUAUGAAACUCUAAACUAACAACUUUCUUAUUUAAUCAUUUAUUUUACCUAAAAAAACUUCUACAAGCGAGAAUCCCACGCGUGCACCUCAAUUCCAAGAAAAACCAAUAGAAAAGCCACGAGAGUAACUACGACGCACUUAUCAUAAGUGUGAAACAAAAACGUUCAAAUAAGAAAGCGAGGGUAUAUUCGGAAAUUAAAAAUAAAACGAAGGAUACUUUGGGAAUAUGAAAAAAUCUUUAUGACUAUAAAAAAGUUGUAACCCUAGUUUUUUCAUUACAACUCCUUACUUGUUCUUUCAUUCUUCAGUCUCUCUCUGCGGCUGAGGAUUCCGAACGAGUCUUAGAUUUCAUUUCUUCUUUGGUAACAAACUUUCUUAUCUUCUCUUUUUUAUUCGAUCUAUGUUCAUUUCUGAUGAUUUUGUUCGUUUCGUUUCAUUUAAAUUUGCAUGAUUUGUUUUGUUUUUGAUUUGAUGAUUUUGUUAGGAAAAUUUUGUGAGCUCUUUAUACUCUGUUACAACAUGAGAUCUUGUUAAUAAUUUUUUUUUGUAUGUAAUUGGAUCUAUUAGAACAUGUUUUUAAAUUCUUUUAAAUUUGAUUAUUUGAAGUUGUUUAUAUUCAGCGCUUUUUUGUAUUUUUUUUAUGAUAUGAAAUCAUGUGUAUUGUUAAUGUUAUGAAAUUAUGUUUUUUUUUUUAAUGUUUUAAUUUCUUUUGGUUAGAUCUGAUUUGUUUAAACUGUUUUGGAAUUUGGUGUUGUUAACAAUUAUAGAGCUUAGGUGUAUUAUUUUUUUGACAGUUGUUUAUUCAAAGUUUUUUCUUUUACCUCUUUGAGUAUAUAUUUGUCGAGUCCAUCGUCGAUAUGAUUCUCAUGUAAUAAAAUUUUUGUAUAAUGUUAACAAUUUGAUUUAUCUGUGUUUUGAUUACUCUUUGAUAAAUAUUUUUUUUAUAAAUUUGCUGUUGUAAACAAUUGAUGACUAUGUUAGAGGCUGUUUGUUAUUUUGUCUGCUCAAUUAUCAUGUUGUUAAAUUGCUAAUUAACGUGAUUUAAUUUGAGCAUAUUUUUUCUGACUUUUGAAACUCUUCUGAAUUUCUGAAUUGCAGCUAAGAUAUCAUGGGUAAAGAAAAGUUUCAUAUCAACAUUGUCGUCAUUGGACAUGUCGACUCUGGAAAAUCAACCACCACUGGUCACUUGAUCUACAAGCUUGGAGGUAUUGACAAGCGUGUCAUUGAGAGGUUCGAGAAGGAGGCUGCUGAGAUGAACAAACGUUCAUUCAAGUACGCCUGGGUGCUCGACAAGCUUAAGGCUGAGCGUGAAAGAGGUAUUACCAUCGAUAUUGCCUUGUGGAAAUUCGAGACCACCAAGUACUACUGCACAGUCAUCGAUGCCCCCGGACAUCGUGAUUUCAUUAAGAACAUGAUUACUGGUACCUCCCAAGCUGAUUGUGCUGUCCUUAUCAUUGACUCCACCACUGGUGGUUUUGAGGCUGGUAUCUCUAAGGAUGGACAGACCCGUGAGCACGCCCUUCUUGCUUUCACUCUUGGAGUGAAACAGAUGAUCUGUUGUUGUAACAAGGUAAAUUUCUAAUAUUUUAAUUUAUCUGUACAUCAUUAGUAUUAUUUUUAUUAUUAUGAAUUGUUAAUAUAGACUCUACGUUAAUUUUCUAGAUAUCAGUUUUAAACCUAUAAUCGACAUUUAUCAUUACCAUUUCUAGGUUAAUUGAAUAUAAUUUCAUUGUAUACGUAAAAUUAUUGCUCUCAUUUGUUGGUUGAGUUGCAGAUUUUAACAUUGCUUGCUAUAUUCUGUUUCAGAUGGAUGCCACUACACCCAAGUACUCAAAGGCCAGGUACGAUGAAAUCGUGAAGGAAGUUUCUUCAUACUUGAAGAAGGUUGGUUACAACCCUGACAAAAUCCCCUUCGUUCCAAUCUCUGGAUUUGAGGGAGACAACAUGAUUGAGAGGUCCACCAACCUUGACUGGUACAAGGGACCAACUCUCCUUGAGGCUCUUGACCAGAUCAACGAGCCCAAGAGACCCUCAGACAAGCCCCUCAGGCUUCCAUUGCAAGAUGUUUACAAGAUCGGUGGUAUUGGAACUGUGCCAGUCGGACGUGUUGAGACUGGAGUCAUCAAGCCUGGUGUGAUCGUUACCUUUGGCCCUACCGGUCUGACAACUGAAGUUAAGU
rnacentral:lncRNA from 1 species